CCCGCACAAGCGGUGGAGCAUGUGGUUUAAUUCGACGCAACGCGAAGAACCUUACCUGGGCUUGACAUCCCGAUCGUACCUGCUGGAAACAGCGGGGUCAGUUCGGCUGGAUCGGAGACAGGUGCUGCAUGGCUGUCGUCAGCUCGUGUCGUGAGAUGUUGGGUUAAGUCCCGCAACGAGCGCAACCCUUGUCCUUAGUUGCCAUCAUUUAGUUGGGCACUCUAAGGAGACUGCCGGUGUUAAACCGGAGGAAGGUGGGGAUGACGUCAAGUCAGCAUGGCCUUUAUAUCCUGGGCUACACACACGCUACAAUGGGAAGGGACAAUAGGUUGCGAAGCCGCGAGGCGGAGCCAAUCCAGCAAAACUUCCCUCAGUUCAGAUUGCAGGCUGCAACUCGCCUGCAUGAAGUUGGAGUUGCUAGUAAACGCAGGUCAGCCAUACUGCGUUGAAUACGUUCCCGGGGCUU
rnacentral:rRNA from 1 species